CAAUAAUUUAGUAUCAAAGUCGCAGUAAUAAUACUUAAAACCUCUUACUUACAAUACAAUUGCGAAAUUUGAUACAAAAUAAUGUGGAAUUAUAUCUAUGGUUGAUUGGAUUUGAUAAGGGUUGGCAAGAAAUCCAAAUUGGAGAGACUUUAUUUGAGCCCAAUAUAUUCAAAACACAAAUACGAUGUCCAACCCAUUCAUUUUACGCCCAAAAUCAAUCCUAAGGUUAAGCCCUAUUUGUUCAUUCAGAUGGAACUUUCCCCAUUCAAACAGCUUUCUCUCCGCCUUCUUAUUUUAUGCCAUAUUCUCCUCAGUUAUGCAAAAGCAUGCAUUCAUAUUUUUAUGAAAUUCCAUGGGAGCAUUCAUAUUUUUAUGAAAUUCCAUGGGCUUGGUAACCUCAGCUAUGCAAAAGCAUGCAUUCAUAUUUUUAUGAAAUUCCAUGGGCUUGGUAACCUCAGCAUCUCAAACAAAUCAAAAUGAAAAUGUAACUUUUUCUCUCAGUUUCUGUGCCAUCUCUCAUCUGAAGCUCUGAUCGAUACAUGUUUAUUAACAUGGGAACAUUCACAGCGAAAUUGCUUGCUAUCAUGAAGGACUCAAAAAUUUGUGGUCCAAGUAUGAAGUACUGCAUAUGAUAUCCUUCACUUCCUCAUCAUAGUCCAAUCUCCAAUUUAAAGUGACCUUGCACCAAAUUGAUUUGGAAUUUAACACAUGGAUAAAAUGAAAUUGUAGCAAUAAUCGCUUAAUUUUAACUGAAUUUGAGCAAAGGUUUUUCAACUAAAAAUUUAUGACAAUUGGUCCCUUAACUCAUUAAAACGUGUAACUAUGGUCAUUUUUGUCAACUCCAUUAGAAUGUAUGUCAAAAUGAGUUACAUGUCAUGCACAUGAGGUUGAAUCAAAUGGAAAAUG
rnacentral:lncRNA from 1 species